ACUCCUACGGGAGGCAGCAGUGGGGAAUUUUGGACAAUGGGCGCAAGCCUGAUCCAGCAAUGCCGCGUGAGUGAAGAAGGCCUUCGGGUUGUAAAGCUCUUUCAGUUGAAAAGAAAAAGUCGUGACUAAUAAUCAUGGCUCGUGACGGUAUCAACAGAAGAAGCACCGGCUAACUACGUGCCAGCAGCCGCGGUAAUACGUAGGGUGCAAGCGUUAACCGGAAUUACUGGGCGUAAAGGGUGCGCAGGCGGUUCUGUAAGUCAGAUGUGAAAUCCCCGGGCUUAACCUGGGAACUGCGUUUGAAACUGCAGAGCUAGAGUGCGGCAGAGGGAGGGGAAUUCCAUGUGUAGCAGUGAAAUGCGUAGAGAUAUGGAAGAACAUCGAUGGCGAAGGCAACCUCCUGGGCUAGCACUGACGCUCAUGCACGAAAGCGUGGGGAGCAAACAGGAUUAGAUACCCUGGUAGUCCACGCCCUAAACUAUGUCAACUAGUUGUCGGGUCUUAAUAGACUUGGUAACGUAGCUAACGCGUGAAGUUGACCGCCUGGGGAGUACGGUCGCAAGAUUAAAACUCAAAGGAAUUGACGGGGACCCGCACAAGCGGUGGAUUAUGUGGAUUAAUUCGAUGCAGCGCGAAAAACCUUACCUACCCUUGACAUGUCAGAAAAUUUUCAGAGAUGAAUUUGUGCCCGAAAGGGAAUCUGAACACAGGUGCUGCAUGCUUGUCGUCAGCUCGUGUCGUGGGAUGUUGGGUUAAGUCCCGCAACGAGCGCAACCCUUGUCAUUAAUUGCCAUCAUUAAGUUGGGCACUUUAAUGAGACUGCCGGUGAUNAACCGGAGGAAGGUGGGGAUGACGUCAAGUCCUCAUGGCCCUUAUGGGUAGGGCUUCACACGUAAUACAAUGGCG
rnacentral:rRNA from 1 species